AAUGAACGUUGGCGGCAUGGAUUAGGCAUGCAAGUCGAGCGAGAAGAGUUUUGAAGCUUGCUUUAGAACUCGGACAGCGGCGAAAGGGAGAGUAACGCGUAGUUAUGUGCCCUAGGGUCCGGAAUAGCCACGGGAAACUGUGGGUAAUGCCGGAUAACAUCCCCGGAUCAAAGGUGUGAUUCCGCCCUAGGAGCAGACUGCGUCCUACUAGCUAGUUGGGGGGGUAAUGGCCCACCAAGGCGAUGAUGGGUAGCGGGUGUGAGAGCAUGACCCGCCUCACUGGGAGUGAGACACUGCCCAGACACCUACGGGUGGCUGCAGUCGAGAAUCUUCGGCAAUGGGCGAAAGCCUGACCGAGCGAUGCCGCGUGCGGGAUGAAGGCCCUCGGGUUGUAAACCGCUGUCGUAGGGGAGGAAGGUUCCGUGAAGAGCGGAAUUUGACCUAUCCUAGGAGGAAGUACGGGCUAAGUUCGUGCCAGCAGCCGCGGUAA
rnacentral:rRNA from 1 species